rnacentral:lncRNA from 1 species
GCAUGUACAAAGGGAUGUAAAAUACCCAAUUGUCUUCAGGAACUCAAGGCUCUUCAUUGCUGUGGUAUAGAAACUUCAUCUCACUCAUUCAGAAGCUGUUUUUAAUUUGUUCUAUAGUAAACUUCUCGACACAGAUGAGUCAGCCCCUGAGAUGUAAGUUAUCUGCAGCAUUGGUGCAUUACUGUUAACUGUUCUUCCAGUUCUCUCAGUUAAUCUGAAUAGAUGUUCUGAACAGACAUAUUUCUGUAUUAGUAUACAAGUUUCAUUUCCUAGUUUGCUCGGGGACAAAAGUAUAUUGGAAUGUUUAAUAGAAUUCAGUGGUUUAUACCAUCUCAUGCAAUCUGCAGUAUUUUCACCUCCGUGUUCAGAUGUGAUGUUUGUAACAUGAUUANUUGCAAUGAUAUCGACCGUGAGAUGCGGAAGUGCUUAAAGAAAGAGUACGAAGAAAAAAGGGCCAGGAACCAGGAGCUGCGUCGGAAAAAAAUUAAUGCUCACAAGAACUUGGAGAAGUGAGCUAUGCCAGACAUGGACAAUUGCUUCUGACAGGGACGCUGGCUUGAAAGUUGACACAGUAUCUCUUUCAAGUUGCCAGCAUUCAACCUGUGGUUUGUGAAAUGGUGGAAAAAUAAACGUAUCUAAAACAUACUAAUUUCCAGAAAGGUAAACUGAGUGUGGGAAAAAUAAAAUGAUUGCUCACAAGUUAAUUUUUGGCCUCAGAAAGACACCUGUUGUGACAAGUCUUCAUUCUGUCAUAGUUUUGUUAUGACUAUUAAGUAAUGAUGCAUCAGUGUGUGUGGAGUGUCAUGCAUUCAAAGCUGCGACAUUCCCAGUCUUGUGUUGAGUUGCAUUUAUUCCUUCACAGUAAGUAGUUUCUCUUUCAUCUUUUUUUCCUUGCAAAAUGCUAAAUGAUUUAUCACAACACUAUGAAGAGUGAAUGAAAACACUGUUUAAAUGGAUUACUAGAAAUGAAUUUCAAACCAAUGUGGCUUGAAAUUGAAGAUGGCCUAUCGAGCAAUUAGUGGAGUUCUAGUGUUUUUGCUGGAGCCAAAAUGAUGAAACAACCAUUUUCCAUUGAGAACGUUAAGAAUUCUUCCUGCCAACU